CCUACGGGUGGCUGCAGUGGGGAAUAUUGGACAAUGGGGGCAACCCUGAUCCAGCCAUGCCGCGUGUGUGAAGAAGGCCCUCGGGUUGUAAAGCACUUUCAGUGAGGAAGAACGCCUGGUGGUUAAUACCCAUCAGGAAAGACAUCACUCACAGAAGAAGCACCGGCUAACUCCGUGCCAGCAGCCGCGGUAAUACGGAGGGUGCGAGCGUUAAUCGGAAUUACUGGGCGUAAAGCGCGCGUAGGUGGCUUGAUAAGCCGGUUGUGAAAGCCCCGGGCUCAACCUGGGAACGGCAUCCGGAACUGUCAAGCUAGAGUGCAGGAGAGGAAGGUAGAAUUCCCGGUGUAGCGGUGAAAUGCGUAGAGAUCGGGAGGAAUACCAGUGGCGAAGGAGGCCUUCUGGACUGACACUGCCACUGAGGUGCGAAAGCGUGGGUAGCAAACAGGAUUAGAUACCCUAGUAGUA
rnacentral:rRNA from 1 species